rnacentral:lncRNA from 1 species
GAUGAGAAGCUGGAGAGGCUCAGAGAGCUUAGAAUAGAGAACAUCAAGCCAAGACACGUUUGUGAUAGAAUUCAAAGCAGCAGAUUUCCAAUGAUCCCUGUGUAUCAGCCUUUGCAUCCAUAUAAAUAAGUCGAAAAGGAUAUGGGUUAUGUUGAACCAGUUGAGACAAAAGCAACCAUUUCUCCACCUCUACCUUAUAAUGUGAAGUUUGACAUUACUAGUACUAUAAUCCAGCUGUUGAACUUAAAAGUUGUAUUUUUGGGAAUAGCAACUGAUGAUGCAAAAAUGCAUCUUGCUAACUUUACUAGGAUCUGCACAUCUUAUACCAUUUUGGGGGUAGACCAAGAAGCUUUGAGGUUGAGGUUGUUCCUAUUUUCACGUACUGGAGAAGAAUCACUAGGUUGAGGGGAACUUCUGAGAAAUUCAAUCACUUCUUGGCAUGAAUUGCAAAAAUAGUUUCUUAGCAAGUUUUUCCCUCCUGCAAGGAUGUUACAGUUGAAAUGUGAAAUUUAUUAUUUCAGACAGUUACCUAUAGAAUCCUUGUAUAAUUCAUGGUUUAGAUUUAAGAAGAAGCUGAGCAUGGUACCUAAUCACAAAAUUAAAGGGUCAAAUCUACUAAAAAUCUUCUACAAAUCACUAAUUAUCAGUUUGAGAGAAAUUGUGAAUACUAUUUCAGGAGGUGCAUUUAUGCGACUUAGGCGGGAUUAUACACAAGAGAUGCUAGAUGAUGUUUUAGUAACCAAUAGAGGAUAGCAUACUAGAGAGGCUGAUCGUGGUGCAAGUGCAUAUUUUAUUAGAGCAGUUGAUGACUACAUCAUGAAUAAUAACUUGGUCUCACAAAAGGUUGCUCAACUUCGGAUGGAUAUUGGGCUUCUUACUAAGUAAUUUACAGUAAUGGGUAUUUAGAAAGUAAAUGCAGCGGGGACUCAGGCAUCUACUUUGAAAACUUUUAAGAUUAAAUCUAGAGAGGAAGAAAAGUAUCUUGAUCAUAGGUUGGCAAAUUUCCAAGCCCAUGGAUAAGGGAAUCAAGAUCGGAACUAUUAUAAUGACUGAUAUAGCGGUAGAAGUAGAGAGAGAGAUGGUAAUUGGCACUGGAAAGAUAACUACAAGGAGAAGAGUAAUAAGUAUGUUCCACCUGGGAGUUGUGAUUCAAAAUCCAAAAUAGAGGCUCUUUUGUCAAAGUUAAUCAAUGGCAAGAAAGUAAAGAAAGUUGUCUUAAGGAUAUUAAGGAAAAUCUGUUAGGGUUGAAUCAUAAUGUUGAAUCACAUGCUACAACAAUCAAACAAUUGGAGCACUAAUUUGGUCAGAUGUCAGCCAUAGUGAAUCAGAGGCAUUCGGGUACUCUCCCUAGUAAUAUAGUUCAAAAUUCGAAGAAUGAUGCUCAUUGCCAUGCCAUUACCACUCGGAGUGGUAAAAACACCACAGACCCACCUGUUUCCACUUUAGAUGAGCAAAAAAAUAAUGAUGAUCCUAUUGAUGCAGAAAGUAGUAUGAAGGAGGACAAAGGCAAAGACAAGGUUGAGAAGCCUGUGCUAAAGUCUAUUCCAAGACCUUUUCUUCUCUUUUCUCAAAGUUUGUAAAAAGAAUAAGAAGAGGGUAAGUAUUAGAAAUUUUUGUCCAUGUUAAAAGAGUUGUCAGUCAAAAUACCACUUGUAGAGGCAUUGGAGCAAAUGCCAGGAUAUACAAAAUUCAUGAAAGAUUUGAUCACCAAGUAAAGGUUAGUAAGUUAUGAGCUAGUUGAAAAUAUUCAUCAUUGUAGUGCUGUAGUUACUAGAUCAUUAAUAGAAAAUAAGGAGGAUUCUGGAGCUUUCACCAUUCCUUGCACUAUUGGAUCUUUCAACUUCACUAAAGCAUAAUGUGAUUUGGGUUCUAGCAUCAACCUCAUUCUCUUUGCAGUUUUUAAAUAAUUGGGGUUAGGAACUCCCAAACCAACUACCAUGAGACUAGUAAUGGCAGCUAGGACAGUGAAAAGGCCAGUUAGUAUUCUAUUUGAUCUACUGGUGAAAGUGGCUUUUUUUACUUUUCCUGCUGAUUUUGUGAUCUUGGACUAAGGAGUGGACUUUCAACUCUUAAUUAUUUUGGUAAAACCAUUCAUUGCUGUAGGAAGUAUGUUAAUUCAUUUGGAGAGAGGAUAUCUAAUACUGAGACUUAAUAAUAAACAUAUGUCAUUCAAUGUAUGCAAACCUAUGAAGCAACCUGAUGAGUUAAGAGUGAUUUCGAUGACUGAUGUGUCUGAUGAUGAGAUAGAUUCAUUCCAUGAUAUUGAUGCAGUUACUCUUUGGAAUGAUGGUUUAAAUGUCUAUGUUCCUAUUGAAGAAAGAUUGGGUGUUGAAGCACUGGUAGCUGUGAUCAUAAACUUUGAUGGUGAUGACGUUGAGAAGUAUAAAGAGAUGGUAUGUGCACUUCAUGGGAGUGGUUCUUAUACUUAUGCACCUAAGAAGAUAUAUUUGGAUUUGAAGAAUAGAACUACUCCACCUGCUCGCCCAUCCAUUAAAGAUCCACCUAUCUUAGAGUUGGAGGACCUCCCUUCUUGUUUGUGAUAUGUACUUUUAAGGGCCAACUACACUUUGCCUGUCAUUAUUGUAGAUGAUCUGAUAUAGUCAAAAGUAGAAGUAUUAUUUUCAGUAUUCAGAAAUUCAAGAGGGCCAUAGGUUGGUCCAUUACAGAUAUUGUGGGUAUUCCACCUAGUUUGUGUACUCAUAAAAUUCAACUUGAGCUAGAUUAUAUUCCAAGUAUAGAGCAUCAGUGCCGACUCAAUCCUCCUAUGCAGGAGGUGGUGAAGAAAGAAAUAAUUAAGUGGUUGGAUGCUGGUGUGGUGUAUCCCAUUGUUGAUAGUAAGUGGGCCAGUUAGAUAUAAUGUAUUCUGAAGAAAGGUGGUAUUAUUGUCGUGCCUAAUGAGAAUAAUAAGAUAGUACCAAUGAGGCCAGUCACUGGGUGUAGAUUAUGCAUGGAUUAUAGAAAAUUGAAUGCAUGGACUCAUAAGGACCACUUUCCCAUGCCCUUCAUGGACCAAAUGUUAGAUAGGUUAGCAGGCAGUGGAUGGUACUAUUUUCUUUAUGGAUAUUCUGGUUAUAACCAGAUUACUAUUACACCUAAAGAUCAAGAGAAGACCACCUUCAUAUGUCCUUCUGGGACCUUCACAUUUAUACUAAUAUAGCCACAUUUUAGAGAUGUAUGAUGUCAAUUUUCUCUGACAUGGUAGAAGACACCACCAAAGUAUUUAUGGAUAUUUUUUCCAUCAUUGGUGAUUCUUUUGAUGACUGCUUAGUUCACUUGAAAAAUGCUCUUAGAAGGUGUGAAGAAUUCAACUUGGUGCUUAAUUGAGAAAAGUGCCAUUUUAUGGUCAAAGAAGGCAUUGUGUUUGGGCACAAAAUUUCAAAAAGGGGUAUUGAGGUAGACAGUGCAAGGAUCGAAGUGAUUGGGAAAUUACCUCCACUAAUUUCUAUGAAGGGUGUUCACAUCUUUUUGGGACAUGCAUGGUUUUAUAUGAAUUUCAUCAAGGAUUUCUCCAAUAUAGCCAACCUUCUUUGUAGGCUUCUUGAGAAAGAGGUGAAACUUGAGUGUACGAAAGCAUGCUUAAAGGCUUUUGAAUGUUUGAAAGAGAAGUUGAUGACUGCUUCUAUUAUUGUAUCUACUGAUUGGUCCUUACCUUUUGAGAUCAUGUAUGACGCUAGUGGUUCGUCCUUAAGGGCUUUACUUGGCCAACGGAAAUAAAAGAUCCUUCAUCCCAUCUACUAGGCUAGUAAGGCACUAAAUCCUACUCAAAAGAACUAUACCAUGAUACAGCAAGAGUUGUUAGUAGUGGUUUCUGCCUUUGAAAAGUUUAGAUCUUACUUGAUUGGGACAUAGGUGAUUGUGCAAAUUGAUCAUGCAGCAUUACGGUACAUAAUGUCCAAGAAAGAUGCAAAGCCUAGGCUUAUCAGGUGGGUGUUUUUGUUGUAAGAAUUUGAUUUUGAGGUAAAGGAUAAAAAGGGCACAAAGAAUCAAGUUACAAAUCACUUAUCUAGAUUAUAGAAGAAAGCUAUGCAGAAGGUUGCAAAUGGGUUGGAUAUUGAUGACAGCUUUCCAGAUUAGCAGAUAUUAGUAGCUUUCCAAGAUCUAAUUCCAUGUUUUACAGACUAUGCAAAUUAUCUAGCUAGUGAUCUAAUCCUAGAAGAUUUUUUGUUUCAGCAAAGAAAGAAGUUUAUGCAUGAGGUAAGGAAAUUUUUCUGGGAUAAGCCUUAUUUGUUAAGAAUUUAUACAUAUGGUAUUAUUCGUAGAUGCAUACCUAAGGUAGAUAUAAUGAGCAUACUUGAGACUUGUCAUUCUUUCCUAGUUGGGGAUCAUCAUGGAGGAACCCACACAACCUAUAAAAUCUAACAAUGUGGGUAUUAUUUUCCAACAAUCUACAAAACUGCACAUGAUUUUGCUUCUGCUUGUAACCAGUGUCUAUGACAAGGUAAUAUCUCUAGAUGCUAUGAACUUUCUAUAACUCCAUUCUUAGAAUUGGGAUUAUUUGAUAUAUGGGGUAUAGAUUUCAUGGGGCCUUUCCUCAGUUCAUUUGGAAUGAGGUAUAUACUAGUGGCUGAAGAUUAUGUUUCUAGAUGGGUAGAAGUAGAGUCGCUUCCCAAAAAUGAAGAACGAGUGUUACUUUUUUUCCUCAAAAAUCACAUUAUUUCUUAAUUUGGCACACCCCGUGCUAUAAUUAGUGAUGGUGGGUGAAACACCCUGGUUUCUGGACCUUAGAAAAUUUCCUAGAAUUCUUAUCUCUGGACCUAAUAUGACUCAAGGGUACGAUCCGUAUGUUGGGGUACAGAUGUUAUGGUCCAUUCGUAUGUUGAUCAGUGUUGGUUGGUGGGAUGGAUUUUGGUUAAUGAAAUGGAUACAACUUAGGGGUACGAGUCGUAUUGGUGGCGAUGAAUCAUUUGGUUCCAUAAAUUAAUCUUAGACUUAGUUACUUAGGUUGGAUCUGAGUACGAGUGGCUUACCAUGAGCCGUAAGCUAAGGUACAAGUCAUACCCAUGACUCGUAUGGUGGACAGUGUCUAAAUCUUUCUUGGGUUUAAAUCUGCCUGGGGUACGGAUGGUAUACUUUGGAUACGACUUGGUUGGAUUAGUCAUAUGCUGGAUAAUGUUGGAUCAAAAAGUUGAGUCUAGGAUGCAAGUGGAGGGUACCACUUGUAUUAAAGGGUACAACUUAUGAGGGUCAAUCGUACCCCUGGGACAAAAUUUUGUGCAACUUAAGUGGAGGUAUUCUGGACAUUUCUCCACUUAUCCUAAUAAGGUCCCAUGACUUCUAACUUAAUUGGGAAGUUAUUUACCCUAUUAAUCUAUUCAUUAACACUUAGAAACUCUUCUAAAACACUCUAUAAUUCUCUCAAAAGCUUUUGGGCAAGAGAGGCUAGGGUUUCAACUAGAGGAUAAAUUUGGGGCAUGUCUUGGUGAUUUCUUUCCAUCAUCAUCUUGGUUUAAGGCUUAUUCUCUUCCCUCAUUUUUAAUUCUAUCUAAAGUCAUGGUUUUUAUGAAUGUUUUCACGACUUCAUUAAUUUUAUGAUUUUGGUAUUCAAAUAUGAAUUGGGGGUUUUGAUAUUAAAUGGUUAGUUAUGGUUUUCCAUGGUUUUAAUUAUGCUCUAUGUGCAUUAAUAGUGUUUUUGGAUGAUUGGAUUGCAUGGGAAUGGUUUAAUGGUAAUUGGAAUUGGUUUUGGUUAUAUUAUGCCCCCAAUGUGUUUGACAAAAUGCCUAUAAUAAGGUUUUCAUUGCAUUGAGUAUUUUAAUGAAACUCUUACCUGUUUUAAAACUUUUUAAAGGAAUUAUGCAUCAUUUAAAUGGCUUGGAAAGAUAAAUGGAUAAAUGGUUAUUCUUUAGGGGUACAUGGAAUCCCCCAAGUGGUUUAAUAUGUUAAAUGGAAGGGCACUUGGAAGUCCCCUUAAACGUAUUUAUGGUUGGCUAUGGAUAGUACUUGCAAGAAUGGUCUGUAUGAUGAUACCACCACUAAAUGACCUAGGUUAAUAAAUGGUAAAUAGAUUUAUUAGUUGCUUGGUAAUGGUUUUAAUUGGUCAAUAAUGGCGGGAUAUGUAGCAAAGCUAUGGAAGGUGGAGGUCCCAGGGGAACCAAAACUGGAAACUCAUAUUUUUCGAUGUGGGGUUGGUCUUGGUGACUGUGUGCAUGAUGUUGCACUAUAUUUUGGGGGAUGUACUAUUCAUCCUAGGUUUUGUUUCCUAGUCGUAUGGCUUCACGUACUGGGCCCUUUCUACAAGGGGAGCGAACCUAUAUUGCCAAUGGGUGGUUUAGGACGGCAAAGCUACACAACCUAGGUAAAGGUUUUAAGGGCAUGCUAAACCCGUUCCCCUUUCUCGAAAUGGACAUUUAUAAAUAUAUAUAUAUAUAUAUGUAUGGUUGUGUGCAUAUGGAUGGUUUUACUUGGUUUUAUAAAUGGCAUUAUUUUAUCCUUAUCCAGAAAUCAUGAUAGUGUUCACCCGCUAACCCAUCUACUAGCAGUUGUAUGCCCACACUAUGUAGGAAUUGAUCGUUCUAUUCCUCCUACAUAGGAAUUGACUCAGGGACUAGAAUUUGGACUAAAGUGGUGAGCUUCCAUCCUUUUGGAAGGCUCUUUCAUGUUAUUGAUAUUUCUAGACACUUGAUUUUAUUUUAGAUAUUCGUUUUAGCCAUAUUUGGGGGCAUGACCUAACCAAAUUUUAUUACUCUUUUGGUUAGAGGCUUUGUGGUACUACUAUAGGUUAGAAUGGGUGGGAUCAGUAUUGGUGUCGUCCUUGGAAUUAGAAUAAGUUGGUGGGAUGACAUCAUUGGAUGAGGGAUUAAUUAUACUACAUUUUGAAACAUAUUUGGUUAUGGCCUGGUUUAUAGCCCUUGUUUUAGUAUUGGUUUGGUAUGGUUGGACUGUUGGUAUGGGAUGGUUGGACUCAAUUGGGUUGGUCACAUUUUUAUCCUAUCCCAGAGUCUUCAUAUGAGCUAUUACACUAUCUUGUUACAUGCUUGAAAUUUGUCCAACUCCAGGCAGGCGGUUAGAGGUUGGGUUGGGUUAUGACGGUGGUCUCUGGUCCCUGUCAGACUUGGGAUGCCCAUUACGACAAGGCCCUGGGUUUGGUCUUGUCAGUGGGCCAUAUAUUUGCAAUCGUCUAUUCAAUGGUUUGCUUGAGAAGUAUGGAGUGAAAUACAAAGUGGCAACACCUUAUCAUCCGCAGACUAGUGGACAAAUUGAGGUGUCCAAUAGAGAAAUUAAGUCUAUGUUGGUGAAGACAGUAAAUGCCAAUAGGCUUGAUUGGUCACAAAAAUUAGAUAAUGCAUUAUGGUAUUAUCAAAAAGCAUUCAGGACUCCAAUUUGUGCUUCACCAUAUCAGCUAGUGUAUGGCAAGGAAUGUCACUUGCCUAGUGAGCUUGAACAUAAAGCAUUAUGGGCCUUAAAGAAGCUGAAUUUUGGGUGGCAAGAUGAACAGGAUAAAAAGUAUGAAUGACUUGGAUGAACUCCAACUUCGGUCAUAUGAAAGUUCUUUACUUUACAAGGAAAAGAUGAAGCUUCAUCAUGAUAACAAAAUUGAGAACAUAAUCUUCGAGAAAGGUGACUAGUUAUUGCUCCACAACUCAAGGCUUUGCUUGUUUCAAGGUAACUUAAUGUCUAGAUGGUAUGGUUCCUUUACUGUGCUUAGGUUGUUUCCAUAUGGUGCUUUAGAAUUGAAGACGGGUGGUGAAGCCUCGUUCAAGGUCAAUCGGUAGUGAGUAAAGCACUACAUGGGUAACACUAAGGAAAUUGACGUGAUUUUUAAAAUGACCUUGGUGACUCAUGAGUAACUAUGAAAAUUACAUCGUGCUGCAGUGUUAAAUCAAGUGUUGCAUGGGAGAUAACCCAUGAAGCUAGUUGGUGAAAUUUGAGUAGCCAACUUAGCCACGUCAUGCCGCAACGUUAAAUCAAGCGUUGCAUGGGAGGCAACUCAUGUUUUUGUACUUACUUAGUCAUUGGGUAAUAUGUUUGUUCAGCGUGCAAGAUUAAGGAGUGCAGAAAAUAUCCAGAGAAGUUGAAAAAUUUUUAGUCAUAUAGACUCUUUCCAAUUCGUAUCUAGACGAUAUGACCCGUGAGUAGGAGUCGAAUGGACCUAGAAGAAAAUUCAAAAUUAGGAAAAAGUUUCUGGAAUGGAUACAAUUCUCAGAACGAGUUGUACCCUAAAGUUAUGACUCAUGACAUUGAGUCGUAUUUACUCCAGAACCCAAGUAAGGUUCUAGGUCGAUACGAGUUAAAGAAAAAACCCGAAAGCCUAGGUACGAGUCGUAUACACAACUCAUACCUGAUCUUGGGUGUAUUUAUCCACCUAAGCACCAUAACUUACCCAUACUUUAGAUAAGUUUUGAGAACAAAGGGCUUAUUUUCUUAUGUUUUUAUUCCACUUUUUAUGUAAUUGAGUUAACAUAUGUGAUUAGAAUGGUCUCAGGUAUACUUGAGAUAGAUGGAGAUGUAAAGGGACCAUGGAUUGCAGAUGGCAUGGAGAACAAGCAAAAGUAGCAUGUUGGAUGCAAUGUGGCACCUAAAAACUAUGUUCAAGACUAUUUAGUCAUUUAAAGUAGUCUAGUGACUUAAAAGGCAAUCUAAGAGAAAAGUCACUUAAAAUACCCCAUGCUGACAAUUGGCGUAUUAUUCUAUAUUGUUUUUUAACUGAGAUUGGCGGCUUUGUACUAAGGGAUAAAAAUGAAACUUCAUAUUCUCCACCAAGAUUAUGUUUACCCCUUGGUAUGAUGAAUAUUUCUAUUGUGAUUCCUGUCUUAUUCAUGAGUAGCUAAGAUUAUUAAAUAGGGUUAUG